AAUUAUCAUUGCUAAUUUGAUAUUGUAUUCUUUGUAAGUAAGUUUAUUGUUUCUUUGUCAUUAUAAACGCAAAUAGCGUUCAGCAUCAUCGAUCUUUCACGUGACCUCUGGCCUGGAUUUAAAAUUUUUACCGGUAUUUUCGAGUACAUGGCGGCACGGAUUCAUUCGUUCGUGCGCUCAGACUGGUUGCUUCUUUUUCGCUAAAACUAGUUUAUUGCGCUUCGAUGUCACGCGUUAUUUAACCUGGGGUGAAGUGACGUGUUUGCAAGCGGACAUGUAAGCCCGAAAGUUGGGUAUCGGUCGUGAGCCAUUCGGAACACGUCUGCAUCGAAACGGGAGCUGGAUUCUGGUGCGGCUGACAACGGUAAUAACGACAUGCAGUAAUGAGGAUGGCACCAGUAUAAAGCAACACACUCCACACACUAAACAGAAGCUGCUGCCUGCUACAACAAGGCCAUUGUGUGGACAUUGGCUGCUACUACAAGAGUCCAUGCCAAGCAUACCUUGGUCAUCACAGGAGCUCCUAUCCACACCAACAGAAAGGGGCUGGAGCUGAAUUUGCAAGGCUUUUACACCACGAACAAAGAAGCGCAUGCAGAAGAAUUUACAUGAGAUAUCAAGUCUGCAGAGCACUGUGUCAAGACUGAAAAGAGCUUCAGCCACCAUUCCACCAGCGCGGACAAAUUGGCUUAGUCAUCCAGGUAACUCAAAAAGGACUUUAUGGAAAUUCUUCGUCUUCAGAUGCACCUGCAACUUCUGAUCAAGCACGGACGACGCUGGCCAAAAGAGUUCCAUCAGUUUGCCCUUAAUCAGCUUCCUGGCCAUGUCAAUUCCAUUUGUGCCAAGUGUAAUUUUUCUUCUAUAAAUGCAAGCUUUUUCAUUGCCCAUUCUCGUUAGAGGUCAUUCAUCCUCAUCCAAACAUAAAGGUCAACCGAUUCUUCGCUGAUACUUAAUACCAGUCACUGUCUAGUAGCAUAACAUAUCUGUAGCAGUACCUUUUAGUGCAUGUUGUCAUGCACAAUUCCUCUCCUGAAAUAGCUGAUGCAACAUCGACAUGUUUCUUGCAUUAACCUACGCACUGUUUGCUAUGCACCAUUUUACUUUUCUUGAUGUUUUUGGCCUUCAAUGCUUGCAGAGCAGGGUGGCUUCUCUCUUGAAUGCAAGCUUUCUCAUUUUCCAUAUUCCUAGUCUCGUUGAUGGUUGCUCUUCUUCCUCGAUAGCCUGGGUCUUUGCGCAAGCUACACUGAAUGAUAGAUUGCAGAAUCUGGUUUUGCUGCCCCACUUGGUUGUGGUCGCCGUGUUACAUUUCUCGGAUGUGGGGGCCUGCUCAGUUACAUUGGUAAGCAGUCUCUCGAGGUAAGCAUUUGCUCCUGCAGUCCGCACAGCGACAUAGACUCCCAAUUUACACACCAUGAUUCGUGCUCCCCGUUCAGCCUUUCCUGCUGCAGCCAUGUGCAAAUUGUGCCUGCGGCCUUUCUCACUCGCAAUUAAGCGCGAACGGAGACAAGCAUACGUGCUUACAUGGUCCAACGUGUUUGAAGUUCAUAGCCGCAUGGGUGGAAAGGCCCGCAUAAAUGGCUGCCGAAGGUGAUGCCCACGAAAGCGACUUGUCCAUAUUGAGACAAAGUGGGACACCAAAUGUGAGCCACACAUUAGUGGCCCUCGACAGAAAAGAAACAUGCAGGUUGGAAAGGAGUUAAUGCUAAAAUGCCGGAUAGUCCAUUUCGCUGUGUUGGUUGUGGCAGCAGAUGCCUGCAUCACUUGAUUGCUUCGCAAUGGAAGUUGCUCAUCUUCAACGGCAACUGUCGGUUCAAACAGGUGCGACGCUCUGUCCAAUCUGUUUGUACUGCUGUUCGUCGUUCGUUACCAGACCACCACAUGCGACGAAGGCAAGCAUUAUGCCUGUAAGUAGGCAGCUGAAUGUAUCCUAAGAGACCCGUGUAUGUGAAUGCUCACUGUUGCCGUAUGGUUUGUAGCCAAUGUAUAACGUAUUCUCUGAACACUAUGUGGUGAAUGAUUGCCGUUUAUUUUUGCUGUUAUCUCACUUGGUUACGGUCGCCAUGUUAUGCUUAUCGGAUGUAGCGGCCUGGUCAGUUGCACUGGAAAGCAGUUUCUCGAAGUAAGCAUUUGCUCCUGCAAUCUGCACAGCGACAUAGACUCCCAAUUUACACACCGUGAUUCGUGCUCCCCGUUCAGCCUUUCCUGCUGCAGCCAUGUGCAAAUUGUGCCUGCGGCCUUUCUCAGUCGCAAUUAAGCACGAAUGGAGACAAGCAUACGUGCUUACAUGGUCCAACGUGUUUGAAGUUCAUAGCCGCAUGGGUAGAAAGGCCCGCAUAAAUGGCUGCCGAAGGUGAUGCCAACGAAAGCGACUUGUCCAUAUUGAGACAAAGUGGGACACCAAAUGUGAGCCACACAUUAGUGGCCCUCGACAGAAAAGAAACAUGCAGGUUGGAAAGGAGUUAACUCUAAAAUGCCGGAUAGUCCAUUUCGCUGUGUUGGUUGUGGCAGCAGAUGCCUGUAUCACCUGAUUGCUUCGCAAUGGAAGUUGCUCAUCUUCAACGGCAACUGUCUGUUCAAACAGGUGCGACGCUCUGUCCAAUCUGUUUGUACUGCUGUUCGUCGUUCGUUACCAGACCACCACAUGCGACGAAGGCAAGCAUUAUGCCUGUAAGUAGGCGGCUGAAUGUAUCCUAAGAGACCCGUGUAUGUGAAUGCUCACUGUUGCCAUAUGGUUUGUAGCCAAUGUAUAAUGUAUUCUCUGAACACUAUGUGGUGAAUGAUUGCCGUUUAUUUUUGCUGUUAUCUCACUUGGUUACGGUCGCCGUAUUAUGCUUAUCGGAUGUGGGGGCCUGGUCAGUUGCAUUGGAAAACAGUCUCUUGAGGUAAGCAUUUGCUCCUGCAGUCCGCACAGCGACAUAGACUCCCAAUUUACACACCAUGAUUCGUGCUCCCCGUUCAGCCUUUCCUGCUGCAGCCAUGUGCAAAUUGUGCCUGCGGCCUUUCUCAGUCGCAAUUAAGCACGAAUGGAGACAAGCAUACGUGCUUACAUGGUCCAACGUGUUUGAAGUUCAUAGCCGCAUGGGUGGAAAGGCCCGCAUAAAUGGCUGCCGAAGGUGAUGCCCACGAAAGCGACUUGUCCAUAUUGAGACAAAGUGGGACACCAAAUGUGAGCCACACAUUAGUGGCCCUCGACAGAAAAGAAACAUGCAGGUUGGAAAGGAGUUAACGCUAAAAUGCCGGAUAGUCCAUUUCGCUGUGUUGGUUGUGGCAGCAGAUGCCUGCAUCACCUGAUUGCUUCGCAAUGGAAGUUGCUCAUCUUCAACGGCAACUGUCGGUUCAAACAGGUGCGACGCUCUGUCCAAUCUGUUUGUACUGCUGUUCGUCGUUCGUUACCAGACCACCACAUGCGACGAAGGCAAGCAUUAUGCCUGUAAGUAGGCAGCUGAAUGUAUCCUAAGAGACCCGUGUAUGUGAAUGCUCACUGUUGCCGUAUGGUUUGUAGCCAAUGUAUAACGUAUUCUCUGAACACUAUGUGGUGAAUGAUUGCCGUUUAUUUUUGCUGUUAUCUCACUUGGUUACGGUCGCCAUGUUAUGCUUAUCGGAUGUAGCGGCCUGGUCAGUUGCACUGGAAAGCAGUUUCUCGAAGUAAGCAUUUGCUCCUGCAAUCUGCACAGCGACAUAGACUCCCAAUUUACACACCGUGAUUCGUGCUCCCCGUUCACGUUCAGCCUUUCCUGCUGCAGCCAUGGUCAAAUUGUGCCUGUUGCCUUUCUCGGCCGCGAUUAAGCACGAACGGAGACCGGCAUACGUGCUUACAUGGUCCGACGUGUGUGAAGUUAGGUGCAAAGGCCCGCAAAAGUGGCUGAUGAAGGUGAUGCCCACGAAAGCGACUUGUCCAUAUUGAGACAAUGUGGGACACCAAGUGCGAGCCACACAUUAGCGGCCCCCGAAAGAAAAGUAACGUGCAGGUUGGAAAGGAGUUAAGGCUAAAAUGCCGGGUAGUCCAUGUCGCUGUGUUGGCUGCGGCAGCAGAUGCCUGGUUCACCCGAUUGUUUCGCAGUGUUAGUUGCUCAUCUUUAACGGCGACUGCCGCUGCAAACAGGCGGGACACUGACCAAUCUGCAUGAGCUGCUGGUUUUCGCUCGUUACUAGACCGCCAUGUGUGGCGACGACGGUGAGCCGUUUACGAGCUCGCGUCAAAGAUUCCAGUGUAUCUCGACAUACAAAUUUUAUUUCUGCUAUUGCACGAGAAUGUACAUACACUGCUUGUCUUCUGCCAAUAAAGUCGCACGUUCUGUUCA